rnacentral:lncRNA from 1 species
GUGUCUUUAUUUUAUUGUAAAAUUCUAUUAUCUUUUAUAUUUGAAUUCUUUAAAUAUGAAUUAAAUAAAUCCUAAUAAAUAAUAAUUAAAUGAGAUUUGUUAUGUAUAUUGCAUACUAGUACAUUUAAAAAAGUUUGUGGACUGGCCAUUGUACAUACUGACACUGUACAGUGAAUCAUAAUAUAUAUGAUAAUGUCAUAGGCCAUAUGUGUUGAACACUGUAUAGCCAAUAGAAUGUCAUUAGACUUGCAGUUGUGUGACAAUGAAAGCUAGACUUGCAGUUUAUUUGAGUCUGUGCACAGAGUAUAGUUGCAGAAGUUUUUUUAUACCAUCCCUGAAGCAUCUAGGCCACUAAAAUAGAGCACUAUGCUCCAUGAUAUAUUCCCCUUCAUUAGUUUUGAAGCAUUUCCAAUGUUUCUUAUGCAAUUUUGCCUAAUUUCUGGCAAAAUUUUAUGCUGGUGUAUUGUUCAGAUUGGGACAUUUUUCUGUCUGCCACAGCUCUGUGCACUGACUCAUGUAAACUGCUUCCUCUGCCAAACAACUGCAAGUCUGAUGAUGUCCUGUUGGUUGUAUUAGUGUCAAUACUUGUGGCCUGAUGACAGUAUCAUGUUAUACAUUGGAAUUCAUUGUAAAGUGUGAUUGCAUGAUGGCCAAUUCACAAACUUUUUGAUUGCAUUGCCAUAUGUUGGGUAUUAGAUAAUUAAAUUUAAGAAAAUUAAUUUUUUAAUUCUUUUAAUUUGUCAGUUAUAUAUACAUGAAAUCUAAUGAUACAUACAUAUCAUUUUUUAUAAAUAUUUACAUGAAUACAUAAACUUAAUAUCACACUCAAUUUGCUUUAUUAUAUUUUUAACUGAAGAACUGC